rnacentral:rRNA from 1 species
ACUUAGUGGCAGACGGGUGAGUAACAUGUGGGUAUCUACCCUUUGGCCUGGAAUAACACGAGGAAACUUGUGCUAAUACCGGAUAAGUCUUUACGGAGAAAGCUUUAUGCACCAUUGGAUGAGCCCGCACUUGAUUAGUUUGUUGGUAGGGUAAUGGCCUACCAAGACUAUGAUCAAUAGCUGAUUUGAGAGGAUGAUCAGCCACAUUGGGACUGAGACACGGCCCAAACUCCUACGGGAGGCAGCAGUGGGGAAUCUUGCACAAUGGAGGAAACUCUGAUGCAGCGAUGCCGCGUGAGUGAAGAAGGCCUUUGGGUUGUAAAGCUCUUUCGUCGGGGAAGAAAAUGACUGUACCCGAAUAAGAAGGUCCGGCUAACUUCGUGCCAGCAGCCGCGGUAAUACGAAGGGACCUAGCGUAGUUCGGAAUUACUGGGCUUAAAGAGUUCGUAGGUGGUUGAAAAAGUUGGUGGUGAAAUCCCAGAGCUUAACUCUGGAACUGCCAUCA